rnacentral:rRNA from 1 species
AUUGAACGCUGGCGGCAUGCCUCACACAUGCAAGUCGAACGGAUUUGAGGGGCUUGCUCCUCAAGUUAGUGGCGAACGGGUGAGUAAAGCAUCGGAACGUACCCAGUAGUGGGGGAUAACGUAGCGAAAGUUACGCUAAUACCGCAUACGACCUGAGGGUGAAAGCAGGGGAUUGCAAGGCCUUGCGCUAUUGGAGCGGCCGAUGUCGGAUUAGCUAGUUGGUAGGGUAAAAGCCUACCAAGGCGACGAUCCGUAGCUGGUCUGAGAGGACGACCAGCCACACUGGGACUGAGACACGGCCCAGACUCCUACGGGAGGCAGCAGUGGGGAAUUUUGGACAAUGGGCGAAAGCCUGAUCCAGCCAUGCCGCGUGAGUGAAGAAGGCCUUCGGGUUGUAAAGCUCUUUCAGACGGAAAGAAAUCUUCUGGGCUAAUACCCCGGGAGGAUGACGGUACCGUAAGAAGAAGCACCGGCUAACUACGUGCCAGCAGCCGCAGUAA